AAUCAAUUCGAUGUGCGUGCGUCUACAACAACAACAAAUUCGAAUCAAUUUCGAACCAAAAAUCAGAAAUUCGAGGUUAGGGUUUUUGGGUUAUUUACCUUUGCGUUAUAUUGUACCAGUUCUGAGCUUUCUCCUGCAUUGAAACAACUUCUGAGGUAAUGUUUGUUAAUCAAUGAAGUUUUUUAAUCAAUGAAUAUCAAUUUCAGUUUCUUGCAACUUUUAGAAAUUAGAAAACUCGGUUAAGAUUGUCUGGUAAUUGUGAUAAGGGCUUAAGAUCUACUAUGCCAAAGGACUGUCGCCCCAAACUUGUUGAGCUGCUUGAAAGAUGCUGGCAACAAGAUCCUGCAAAAUAGCCAAAGAGUUUGUUUUUACUAAAUUUAUUUUUGAUUGAUUAUUUUGAGCUCAGGUUCCAUUCUAUUAGUGUUUUAGAGUUAAAGACCUUAAUUUUAAUUAUGUUCUAUAGUUCAUCCACUCUACAAUUACCUAGAUUUACUUCAUAACAAGGGGUAAUUAGUAUAUUUUCAGCCUGUUAGUUACUCGAAGGCAUUAUUUGUUAGCAUUUGAGUGACAGUGCUAGUUCUUUUGCUUUUGAGAAUGCUAACUUGAGCCAUCAACUGCCCUGAAGUUGUGAAUAGUUUUCUCUAGGAUCUGUUAUUUAUUUAAAAGGUUUUUUUGGGUUUCGCAGAUCUAAAUUCUUCAAAUCGAAGUUUGUGGCACCACUAAUCUGAUAUAUGAAAAUUAUCUACUUCGUAUCUCAGUUUUUUGGGGGUUACUCUGGGUUUUGGUUUGAGGAUUCUACACCAAUCAGGAAUAGGAGCAGUCAAAUGGUGUCCUUGCAGUAUGUAUUGGUAGACCAGAUUAUUAGCCUUAUACUGUCUUAUGUGAUAUUAUUUUGGCAGGUUCUUUUCCUUUUCUAUCAACCUCAUUUUUUAAUUUAAUGUUCUUUUAUUUUAUCUCUUCAUGGAGUGCAAAGUUCCCUUCUCCUAAAAAAUAGUACCCUCCUUAAUGGUGCAAUCGAAGGAAAAAGUCUUCUAAGAUGGAAGUAAUGUGCAAUAGAUGAGUAGAACAAUAAAUUACUAUUUUAGAAGAUUGUCUUUUAUAGUACUUAAAAUAGCAUAAUUAAUUUCACAAUAGCUUUAGUGUUAUGGAGUAUUAUUAGUAACCAAAUGAAGCCAUGCCUCGUGUUAUUGCGUGUUUUGGUCAUUGCUUAUUUUGUUAUAAUUGGACCUUGUGAUGUCUUCACAUAUAAUUAUUAACUUCAUUUUAUUUUUAAUCGUAAAAAUUGAUCAAGAUAUACAUGAUUCGGUUAGGAUAAGGUUGUGACUGGACUAUAAGAUUUGCUUUUAUUAUUCUCACUCCUACAGCCAGAUUAAGAAUUUAAUGAUAGUGUUUAUUAACUUAUGCAAUAAUGGAAUUGGUGACUAUGGUCAAAUUAUGUAUGCUAAUAUAAGUGACAUUGUUAGAACGGAGAUAAAGGAUGAAAACCAUGGAAGGUAUGUGUUGAACAUGUUGGGUUUGACUUUGAGUUAUGUGUGAUGGAUCGACUUCGACAAAUUAUAAUAACAGUAAAAUUAGCAAGAGUAUAAGUGGAAAGCUUGAUGGAUUGAUAACAACAAACUGAUUCCAAGGGGUGAAUACCUUUAGGCUAUCAAUCUCACAAGUAGCUUUAGGCUACAACUCUUUCAAUAGUGACUUGAAGUCACAACUCUCAAAGUGAUUCAUUCCCAUUUCGGCCUACCAAUUCCUCUCUCCCCCCUUCUCUAUUUAUAAUAAAGCUAAAAAAUAUUAACCUAAUAAUACUAGACUUUCCAAAUUGCCCCUCCUAAGGUUAGUCUAUUACAUCAUGCCGGGUUGUUUACCCCUUCAAGUGCAUGAUGGGCUUGGUUGAAGUUCGAGUGUGGGUUGUGUCAAUAUGGGUGUUGGGCAAGUUUAUAACAAGUUAAUUCAGCUUAGGGUCAGGUUUGAGUGUAAUAACUAUCAAGUCUAACUCAACUUCCAACUAGGGUCAAAGUUUGAAUCAGAAAAUUCUUAUUUGAUAAACUUUUCAAAGUUGUUCAGUUAUUCGAUUUUAUAAUGAGUUUUUAUAAUUUUUGAUUAGUUUUUUUUUUUGUCGUAUGAAUUCAUUAUUUGCAGCUUUAUCGAAUUUUAUAACAAUAUCAAAUCAAUUACAUGCGUUUUAUACUGUUCAAUUAUCUUUCAUGUUGGCAUGCAAUGCCUAUAUAUAUACAUAAGCUUAUUGUUUCAAACAUCAUUUUCCUUGGAAUUCUUUGUGAUAUGUUAACUGAAAAACUAAUAUAGGUUGCCUCUUCCAUUUUCAGAAUGAGCCCCUUUUAGACUUGAAUAUGUUCCUUUCUCUUUGCACAAAGCACAUAUCACGACGAAUGUCCAUGGAGACUGGUAGGAACUGAGGUUGCUCAGGGAGGUAGUUCAGUCCUGAUCUGCUUUAACAAUGUUGAAAAACGGUAACAAGGUCGUGCCUUUUCUUAGGUAUGCUGUAACUCUGUAAGUUGCUUGCUUCCUCUUCUCAUCCUUUCAAUCAGAAUAGAUUUUUUUGAAUUCUCUAUGAGUGAGGGGCUUGCCCAAUCUCAACCUCUUGCUAUUCAGGUCACUGAGUCCCGAUCUCAUAAGACAAUUAAGUGAGCUUUUUGUGGAUAAAACCAAAAGUGUGACUGAUUUAUAUUGCGACUGACAGACUGGGGGUGCACUGGCUGAGUACGUUGUGGCAAAGUAAGAAAGUUGUUCGACCACUGGAAGUUUCAGCACCCAAAGGUGCAGCCUACCUGUUCCUGCCCUUAUUGCUCUAUUAAGUUGUUGCACAUUCCACACCCGACUAUUACAUCCACGAAGAACUUGUACAAGACUAAACAGGCCAUCUUCUUUAUUUAACUGAAUCCUGUGAUUUCAGAUUAUCAAUGAUUUGCUUAAUCCGACUGGUCAGAAUCUACGUGUAAGAGAAGAUGCCCAGGUUUGUGUUGGUUUCAGUUAUUGGCUAGAAUAUAAUCUUUCCAUAUUAUGUCUGUUUUUGGCACUUAGUGUUAUGUCUUUUCUGCUGCUCCAUUAUUUUACUACAUUUAUUGGAAUCAUUAGCUGGUUCGUUGUCCAUUAGAGACGAUCUCAGUAAUCUAAAGUGGCUUAUAAAACACAGCAAGCCCAUAUACACAGGAGGCCAAAACAACACCUACACACAUCUAGCAAACACACCAUAAAAAAACAGCACCCAAUCAAAAACAGACCAGCAGCCCACCAAAACAGCAGCACCAUCCCACACCACUACUGUUCAGAACCCAAACAGCAGCCCAACAAGUACAGAGCAGACACCAGCAAGCCCUGUAGGAAAACAGGUAGACAAACGGCACCAGCUGAGCAUAAAGUCAAAGGAGACAAACUCUAAAUCCAUGAGCAGCAGCUCCCAGCAAGUCCUGACAAAGACAGCAGCCUGCACAGAAAACAGACACAUCUGCAUCACCACCAAGAACUAGCCUAGCAACACAGCAGCUCAGCAUCACAGCUCUCCAGAAAACCAGCAACAUGGCUGCAAAAGGAAAACAGAGAACAGCAAAGUAGUAUCAACACAGUAAUAUCAAGUGGGUUUUUUUUUUUUUU